rnacentral:lncRNA from 1 species
UUAAUGGGCUGGAUCUUUGAUUAUUAUUAGCUGAUCAUAUUUAAAUUGUUUUGGGAUUGGGAAUAGUUCCAAAUUUGGACCUUUGCGCCACUUUUCCCUAUUAGCUUUUAAUUAGAUUAGUUGUGGGCUUUACGUCAUUUUUGACUAGUUGCCUAAUUAGACUUGUUUUAGUUGCCUUAUUAGACUAAGGUUUUGAUUAUUUUCUUAGUAUAUAUAUUAGUAUUCAGCACACUUUGUU